UGGGGGCCCAGGGUCCCCGGAGCCCCGCAGGGAAGGAGCUGGUUUGUCAACAGCAGCCUCCGAUUGCCCUAUUCCUGCGGAAGAUAAAAUGGGCUUGUUCAGAAAAGAAGAAGGCGUGGGGAGAGAGAAACCACCCAGCAUGAAAACCCCUGGAAAGCUGCUCCUGCUGCUUCUGGGAAUGGCAGGGGAGCCUUAUCUGGCCUUGCACACAAGGCAGGAGAGCCCGAGCCUUGUGGAGUGCAAUAAGGAACACAGAGCCUAAUGGAAAAAUCAGUUGCUUGUAGCAUUUAAUUAAACAUGUAAAUUUAUGAACGGCCCUGAAAUCACCAAACUGAAA